rnacentral:rRNA from 1 species
AGCAGUCGCCGCGGUAAUACGAGGGGUGCAAGCGUUAUUCGGAUUGAUUGGGUGUAAAGGGUGUGCAGACGGCUUAUUAAGUCACUUGUUAAAUUCUUCGGCCUAACUGAAGGUCUGCAAGUGAUACUGAUGAGCUAGAGGGUGGAAGAGAGAAGUGGAAUUCUCGGAGUAGCGGCAAAAUGCGUAGAUCUCGAGAGGAACACCAAUGGCGAAGGCAGCUUCUUGGUCCAUUCCUGACGUUCAUACACGAGAGCGUGGGGAGCAAACAGGAUUAGAUACCCCAGUAGUCCCUGUCUCUUAUAC